UUGUCUAAAAGCGGCAAGUGUAUUUGUUUAGGUUGACCAUUAAUGGACAAAUAUUUAUUUUUUGGUGACAGGGAAAUUCAAAUUAGGAGAGCCAUGAAAAUUGUAAAUGCAAGGUUAUGCCUAGAUGUUCAACUUAACAGGACAACAAGUGCAUAAUGGAACCAAGCUUAGCUGGUAUAAGUAGGAUAGGACGCACGUAUUGUGCCGUAGAC
rnacentral:lncRNA from 1 species